rnacentral:rRNA from 1 species
UGAGGAAUAUUGGUCAAUGGAGGCAACUCUGAACCAGCCAAGUCGCGUGAAGGACGACGGUCCUAAGGAUUGUAAACUUCUUUAGUAGGUGAGUAGAGACAGGCACGUGUGCCUGUAGGCAAGUAACCUAAGAAUAAGUAUCGGCUAACUCCGUGCCAGCAGCCGCGGUAAUACGGAGGAUACGAGCGUUAUCCGGAUUUAUUGGGUUUAAAGGGUGCGUAGGUGGUAUUGUAAGUCAGGGGUGAAAAGCUAUAGCUCAACUAUAGUCUUGCCUUUGAAACUGUGAUACUUGAGUGUAGAUGCUGUGGGCGGAAUGCGUAGUGUAGCGGUGAAAUGCAUAGAUAUUACGCAGAACUCCGAUUGCGAAGGCAGCUCACAAAGUUACAACUGACACUGAUGCACGAAAGCGUGGGGAUCAAACAGG